AGCAGCCGCGGUAAUUCCAGCUCCAAUAGCGUAUAUUAAAGUUGUUGCAGUUAAAAAGCUCGUAGUUGAACUUCGGAAUUUGCCCAUUGGUCAGGCUUAACUGUCUGAACUGGUGUGACGAGUUCCUACCUUCUGAGGAAUCUUCAUGCCAUUCAGUUGGUGUGGGGGGAAAUCAGGACUGUUACUUUGAAAAAUUAGAGUGUUUAAAGCAGGCAUCCGUCUGAAUACAUUAGCAUGGAAUAAUAAAAUAGGACGGUUUGGUUCUAUUUUGUUGGUUUCUAGGAUCACCGUAAUGAUUAAUAGGGAUAGUUGGGGGCAUUAGUAUUCAAUUGUCAGAGGUGAAAUUCUUGGAUUUAUUGAAGACUAACUACUGCGAAAGCAUUUGCCAAGGAUGUUUUCAUUAAUCAAGAACGAAAGUUAGGGGAUCGAAGACGAUCAGAUACCGUCGUAGUCUUAACCAUAAACUAUGCCGACUAGGGAUCGGACGAAGUUAAUUUUA
rnacentral:misc_RNA from 1 species